GAAAUUGUGGCUUGAAACAAGAGGCUGUUGUGAGUGGGAGAAAGAUACAGGCUUGGAUUUAUGGGCAGGCCACAAAGGCCUGGGCCUAGGGCAGCAAAGAUUGGGAGGCAGCCGCUCACUGGGAGGAUCUGAACUGGAUACUGGGCAGGAGAAGAUGACAGUUGCAUGAAUCUACCACCCAUUCAGUCCUCAGUUCUGACGAUCAGUGACGUGUACCUGCAGCAGUGGGAAUAUAUGAGGAAAAGAUGGCGGCACUGAAGAUGACAUCAGAAGCUGGCACAGCAAAGCUGGAAACAUCAUGAAGACUUUGAACAAUGCUUGAAAGUCCACUUAAUACAGUCUUGCCAACUCUUCUUUAUGGCUAUGGGAGUGCUGGAAUAUGAUAGAAAGUGACUUAGCCAAACUGUCAGCUUUUCAGGCCACAUGUCUCAGAAGGGCUCUGCGCACCUUCUGCCCACAAAAGAUUUCAAACUACGACCUUCUGACUCAGUGUCAGCCAAAAGACAUGACCACCAUCAUAAUGCAUUCACAGUGGAGGUGGAUUGGACUUGUACUACGGUGUAUUACAGACUUGACCACCAACAUUGCCCUUUACUAGACCAGAUGGGAAGUGGAGGAGAGGUCGGGGAGAUAUGUCGAUGUAAAGUUGAGGCAGAACUUAAGAAUUUGCAAUAAGCAAAAGGCAUGAAAUUGGCCAAAAGACAGAAGUAGAAAUCCUUUGUUGCUGCCUUACAUGUCAGCGGGUGUAAUAAUCAAUGAGCGAGGUGUCAAUACAAUUGUGCAAUGUUAGUGUUCAAUUUACUUUUGUGCAAUUUACAUUUGUGCAAGUCAGUUUCAGCUGUUGGCACCAGGGGCGCUGCUGCAAUGAGGCAAAUUGAGAGACUGGCAUCAGGAGACAGCUCCUCAGUAGUUAACAGGGGAGGCAAAAAGCUGAUCUUGGUAACUUUGUAACUGAAUUUACGAUUAUUAAACCAGAAAUUUGGUUCUUCUAGUGCAGAGCAGAGAGCUUAUGUCCUAUAAUCACCCCGGAUUGACACAACCUGCUAACGGAACCCUGGAACUAGAGCCAAGUCCAGACUGAUGGAAAUUCAAGGGUUCCCGUGUGCACUUGCUUCAGCAGAGCAGGCUAAAGGGGCGCAUUCGGAAACUACAAAUGUAAAUAAGGACAUGUUCCAUUAACUCUGGAAGGUAUUGAGCUGCAACUGGCGCAAAGAAAACAAGCUUUCAAGGGAUACCGUCUAGUGAUACUCAAGUCUACUUGAAACCCAUGAAUCGUGUGGGUUCAGGCUCUCAAAUUGCCAUCAGAGGGGGUCACAGGCUAAAUUUACCGCCAGCUGGCGUGUCCAUGACCAUUCUGCACCUUGCCAAGCAACCCAAGCAUUUGUUUAUAUACUCACACUCGCCCCGCCCCCUCACUGUCAUCAGAGAAGGGGUAGGUAUAUAAAUCGACCAGGUUGGGUGUGGGUUGAAAUAUAUUUGAGGCACGCGUUACUAAUACUGUCAUCAAAAUGUUUAUUUUUGCACAAAAACAGUACAUACAUUUCUGUAAAAUAGAGUCGUGGGGAAUUUUUUGUCUUGAAUUCAUUUUUAAAGAGUUAUCAUAAUUUUUCAAAUUCUGGAGCAGGGGAAUUCAUUUCUUAGUAUUUCUAGUUCCUUUCUGGCAAACAGUAUCCUGCGAGACUAUAACGACACUUAUACUUCCUCAUGGGAGGAAAUAAUAGAAAGUAGAACCAGCAAAAAAACUUGAAAUAAUUCUAAACCAAAUCUAACAUCAUUCUUUCCUUGGGUUUCUGGCAUGUGCACAAGAAAGCUCUGCAUGGUGAGAUCCAGAUGUAGAAUAUUGUUCAUGUGGAAACCGAAUUUUUGUGUCUAACGCUAUAAAAAAGUGCCAUUUAGUGACCGCGCCGCAGAUAUUUUCCUUCCAAAUAAAUCAGAAAAAAAAUC